UCUGGCCUUAAAGAAGUGUGGGAGGCUUUGAAAAAGGCUGAAAGUAAAUCUCAUUUGAAAAAACAUUUCACACCAGCCAGGAAUGAAAAAUG